AUUGAACGCUGGCGGCAGGCCUAACACAUGCAAGUCGAACGGCAGCGGGGGAUAGCUUGCUAUCCUGCCGGCGAGUGGCGGACGGGUGAGUAAUGCAUGGGGAGCUGCCCAGUCGAGGGGGAUAACAACUGGAAACGGUUGCUAAUACCGCAUACGCCCUACGGGGGAAAGGUGGGGAACUUCGGUCCUACCGCGAUUGGAUGCGCCCAUGUGGGAUUAGCUAGUUGGUGAGGUAACGGCUCACCAAGGCGACGAUCUCUAGCUGGUCUGAGAGGAUGACCGGCCACACUGGAACUGAGACACGGUCCAGACUCCUACGGGAGGCAGCAGUGGGGAAUAUUGCACAAUGGGGGAAACCCUGAUGCAGCCAUGCCGCGUGUGUGAAGAAGGCCUUCGGGUUGUAAAGCACUUUCAGUCAGGAGGAAGGGGUGAUGGCUAAUAUCAAUCAUCAUUGACGUUACUGACAGAAGAAGCACCGGCUAACUCCGUGCCAGCCGCCGCCGUAA
rnacentral:rRNA from 1 species